rnacentral:misc_RNA from 1 species
AUUUCUUUUUUGCCAUUCAGUGGACCACUCGACGGGCACUUGUCCGGUGGUCGUGGAUGUGCGAAUGUAGAUUUAUAAAUAUAUGAUAUAUUUUAUGUUGUGUAGAGCGAUAUUUUGUAUUUCAUCACUUUAUACCAUUCGCUGUCCAAACACGACCAGAAAAUAUGAAGUUUGAAAUCUUCGUUUGGAUUAUUCAUUUUGCGAGCCGCGUAUCCACUCUACCCGAUACUAUCAGAAUCGGAGGUUUGUUUCAUCCAAAUGACGUUAACCAAGAAAAUGUGUUCAAACACGCCAUCCACGACGUCAACGCCAAUCGGAACAUACUCAGUAGGUCGAACCUCUCCGGUCAGGUAGAAAAAGUGUCGCCACAAGACAGUUUCCAUGCUUCUAAAAGAGUGUGCAGUCUACUCCGGCUCGGCGUCGCUGCAGUUUUCGGCCCGCAGUCCGCUCAGAUUUCCAGUCAUGUCCAGUCCAUUUGUGACACGAUGGAGAUACCACAUUUAGAAACGCGAUGGGACUACAAGCUGCGACGUGAGAGCUGCUUGGUCAAUCUCUAUCCGCACCCGACCGUAUUGUCCAAGGCGUACUUGGAUUUAGUGAAAAAAUGGGGCUGGAAGUCGUUCACGAUAAUAUACGAGAGCAACGAAGGCCUGGUGAGGCUGCAAGAGCUGUUGAAAGCCAGGAACGGUGCACUUUCAGCGUACCCGAUCACGAUCCGCCAGUUGGGCUCCGGUCGAGAUCACAGGCCACUGUUGAAGCAGAUAAAAAAUUCGGCAGAAUCGCACGUCGUACUAGACUGUUCGACCGAAAAAAUAUAUGACGUGUUGAAACAAGCCCAACAAAUCGGAAUGAUGAGCGACUAUCACAGCUAUCUGAUCACGUCGCUGGAUCUUCAUACGAUCGAUCUGGAUGAAUUUAAAUACGGCGGUACAAACAUCACAGGUUUUCGGUUAGUCAAUCCCGACACGCCAGUAGUGCAAAAAGUUCUGAAACAAUGGGGAGAAAAUUUCACCGUCAUGUCGACGGAAACUGCUUUAAUUUACGACGCCGUCCAUCUAUUUGCCAGGGCACUCCACGACCUGGACAGCAGCCAAAAGAUUGAUAUAAAACCAUUGAGUUGCGACGCUUCUGAUACAUGGUCCCAUGGAUAUAGUUUAAUAAAUUAUAUGAAAAUAGUAGAAAUAAGUGGUUUGACCGGCGUCAUAAAGUUCGACAACCAAGGGUUUAGGACGGACUUCGAAUUGGACGUGGUAGAAGUAAACAAAGAGGGACUGUCUAAGAUCGGCACUUGGAACUCCAGUCAAGGGAUAAACUUCACUAGGUCUUUCGUCGAAGCGUACUCUAGCAUCGUUGACAAUCUGCACAACAAGACGCUGGUCGUCACAUUGAUCCUGAGUUCGCCGUACACAAUGCGCCGCGAAUCCAGUCAAAAAUUAGUGGGCAACGACCAAUUCGAAGGGUACGCAAUCGAUUUGAUAUACGAGAUAUCAAAACUGUUGGGCUUUAACUAUACGCUGAAACUCGUUCCAGACGGUCGUUACGGUUCUUAUAGUGAGGACACUAAGGAAUGGGACGGGAUGAUGGGAGAACUUUUACAGCAGAGAGCGGACUUAGUAGUGGCUGAUUUAACUAUUACUUACGACCGCGAACAAGCCGUUGAUUUCACUAUGCCGUUUAUGAACCUCGGUAUAAGUAUUCUGUACCGAAAACCAAUCAAACAACCACCGAACCUAUUUUCGUUUUUGUCUCCUCUGUCGCUGGAUGUGUGGAUAUACAUGGCCACGGCGUAUCUCGGCGUAUCGGUUCUUCUCUACAUAUUAGCCAGGUUUAGUCCGUACGAAUGGGAAAAUCCACAUCCUUGCAACUCCGAAGCUCCAGAUGUUUUUGAAAACAAGUUUUCCUUGAACAAUUCACUGUGGUUUACGAUCGGCUCUCUGAUGCAACAAGGAUCUGAUAUGGCUCCUAAGGCUGUUUCCACCAGAAUAGUGGCUGGUAUGUGGUGGUUUUUUACGUUAAUCAUGAUCUCGUCGUAUACUGCUAACUUGGCAGCAUUUUUAACUGUGGAAAGAAUGGACUCACCGAUCGAAAGCGCCGAAGACCUUGCUAAACAGACGAAAAUAAAAUACGGCGCACUUCGAGGUGGUUCGACUGCUGCAUUUUUCAGAGAUUCAAAUUUCAUUACUUACCAAAGGAUGUGGUCGUUUAUGGAAUCAUCACGACCAAGCGUGUUCAUGGCGUCUAAUAACGAAGGCGUAGAAAGAGUUGUAAAAGGAAAAGGAAACUAUGCCUUUUUAAUGGAAUCCACUAGUAUUGAGUACGUGAUCGAGAGAAAUUGCGAGCUCACUCAAGUCGGAGGGCUUUUGGAUUCAAAAGGUUACGGCAUAGCAAUGCCUCCGAUGUAUUUGCUUGUUAGAUUCUCCAUAUAGAACAGCGAUUAGCGGGGCGGUGUUAAAACUUCAGGAAAUUGGUAAACUACAUAAGCUAAAAACAAAAUGGUGGAAAGAAAAAAGAGGCGGUGGAGCUUGUCGGGACGAUACUUCAAAGUCCAAUAGCGCAGCCAAUGAAUUGGGUCUGGCUAACGUGGGUGGAGUGUUCGUAGUGCUAAUGGGUGGAAUGGGUGUAGCUUGUGUAGUUGCAGUGUUUGAAUUCGUAUGGAAGUCGAGAAAAAUAG